rnacentral:rRNA from 1 species
GAUGAACGCUGGCGGCGUGCCUAAUACAUGCAAGUCGAGCGAAUGGAUUAAGAGCUUGCUCUUAUGAAGUUAGCGGCGGACGGGUGAGUAACACGUGGGUAACCUGCCCAUAAGACUGGGAUAACUCCGGGAAACCGGGGAUAAUACCGGAUAACAUUUUGAACCGCAUGGUUCGUAAUUGAAAGACGGCUUCGGCUGUCACUUAUGGAUGGACCCGUGUCGCAUUAGCUAGUUGGUGAGGUAACGGCUCACCAAGGCAACGAGGCGUAGCCGACCUGAGAGGGUGAUCGGCCACACUGGGACUGAGACACGGCCCAGACUCCUACGGGAGGCAGCAGUAGGGAAUCUUCCGCAAUGGACGAAAGUCUGACGGAGCAACGCCGCGUGAGUGAUGAAGGCUUUCGGGUCGUAAAACUCUGUUGUUAGGGAAGAACAAGUGCUAGUUGAAUAAGCUGGCACCUUGACGGUACCUAACCAGAAAGCCACGGCUAACUACGUGCCAGCCGCCGCCGUAA